CUGAAGUCACAGGCCUGACUUCCAGACUAGGCUCUGCCCCUAAGGAAAUCACCUUUCUGGUCUUAGUCUCCCCAUCUGAAAAUGGCAUAAUCAACCUACCUGCCUCAAAUACAAGACCCUGCUUGUGAAGCGUCUCCUGGCUCAGACCAGUGCUAGAAGUGUCCAGUCUAGCAGCUCCUGGACCAAGACUCCGUGGCCAUUCCCUUCCUCCUCCCUUCCAUCCACCCCCUUACGGUCAGAGCUCCGAAGGCAACGUGGUGACGGGUGCGUGGAGGGGAGUGGGGGCAUCUCUCUGAGAUACUUCUGCCUUGGGGUCACUGGAUCAUUCAUUCGACAAACAUCCGCGAGCAAGCCAGGAACUAGGAGUCAUCCUUGCCACCUCCCUCUCCCUCGCUGCCCAUAUUAAAAUACACCUCCAUUUCCCGUCGAUUCUCUUUCCUAAAUAUCUUUCCAGUCCACCAUUCCUUCCGUUUGCCCCACCACCUCCCGCCUGGGCUCCUAAUGCAGUAGCCUUCUAUCUGGUUUUCUUGUACUCAUUCUGGCCCGGCUACACUCUAUUCCCUGCAUUGCAAGUCAGCUGUCAUUUCAGAACACAGGUCUGGUGUGCCCCCCUCGACCCCCCCGCCACGCGGCGUUGCCUAAAUUCCUCCACUGUUAGAAUAAAAUCUGGACGCU